AAUAGAUACCCCGGUAGUCCACGCCGUAAACGAUGAAUACUAGGUGUAGGGGUUGUCAUGACCUCUGUGCCGCCGCUAACGCAUUAAGUAUUCCGCCUGGGGAGUACGGUCGCAAGAUUAAAACUCAAAGGAAUUGACGGGGGCCCGCACAAGCAGCGGGGCAUGUGGUUUAAUUCGAAACAACGCGAAGAACCUUACCUAGACUUGACAUCUCCUGAAUUACCCUUAAUCGGGGAAGCCCUUCGGGGCAGGAAGACAGGUGGUGCAUGGUUGUCGUCAGCUCGUGUCGUGAGAUGUUGGGUUAAGUCCCGCAACGAGCGCAACCCUUAUUGUUAGUUGCUACCAUUUAGUUGAGCACUCUAGCGAGACUGCCCGGGUUAACCGGGAGGAAGGUGGGGAUGACGUCAAAUCAUCAUGCCCCUUAUGUCUAGGGCUACACACGUGCUACAAUGGCUGGUACAGAGAGAUGCUAAACCGUGAGGUGGAGCCAAACUUUAAAACCAGUCUCAGUUCGGAUUGUAGGCUGAAACUCGCCUACAUGGAG
rnacentral:rRNA from 1 species